GGAGGAGAGAGAUGGGGACUGGGGAAGCGUGAGGAGAGAAGGAACGGCCUCAGUGAUGGAGGUGGAGGGGGAAACAGGGAGCCCGACCCAGCCAGUGCUCUGGGGAGUAACUGCUGAUAUUCAGAAACCCUGCCACGCUGGAAGGCAUGCAGCACCUUAAAUCAGCCAAGGGAAUCGAUGGCUCACAACCACCGAGCGCUCACUGUGUACCAGGCGUUGUGCCAGAGCGCUCCCAGAGCAGCAUGGAGAACCGUCCACAGCACAGUUCUUCACAUAAUGUCAAAGAGCCUCAUGGAACAGCUCAUAGCGAUGGAAGAAAAAACCCAAAGAAGAAUUUUGUGGUCCCUUGCCACGAUGAAGAUGCUUUCUGGUUUGGAACUGUGGAAUGAAGGCAAUAGGUCUUAUUGGUGGAGGGCAGAGGCAGAGGGUAGAAGGGGGGAGGGGAAGAGCAGCAAAGAGAAAACCCGAUGGAAUCUUUAAAAUUAGGUUGUCAGGAGUUUAACUGGGGAGGAUUAUGAAACAAUUUUUGCAAAUUACAUAGCUCUGUGUCUGGAAGGAGGUGACAGGCAACAUCAGCUACAUGUUCAAAUUCAGCAUUUUGCUUUGGGGCAUGGAUGUGCUGAGGGUAAGGAGGAAGGAUCCAGAGGCUUCUUUAGGGCUGACAGAAAUGCUAAAAGCGGCAGGAAGCUCCCAGGUGGAGAGCUGCCAGAGAGUUCUAGUCUUCCUGGGCGGAAGUCAGGCAGGAGAAUGACAUACAGACCAAAGGUGAGAGUGUGAGAAGGGGCUAACCAGGUGUAACGGACCUCACCCUGAAGCACAGUGGUGGUCAUCUAGAUCAAUGAUCUGGGCAGUGACGGGGGUGAGCCAGUUAACAGACAUGGGAGUCAGUUAAGGAAAUGCUGGAUCUGCUCUACCACUAUUUUGUUGUGGAUAUUUGACCUUGGAUAAAUCACUUCACCUCUUUGAUCCUCAGUUUCUUUAUCUGUCAAAUGGGAAAGGUAACACCUACCUUACACUUUAUCUUCAGAACAAGAAUCAGAUACGUGAAGCUCCUGGGAGGUUCGCAGUGAAAGGAAGCUAUCUGUGAUUGACCAUUAACUAUAAUUAUUACUGAGGGCAAAGGAAAACUGUGUUUUAUAUUCCUCUCAGGUACUACAACAGCCCAGUUGAUUAUAGCUUAAUGUCCUAGUCUCCCUGUCACUCACCCUCCACAGUUCUAAUGAACGCUGUCACCAUGAUGCUUGAAGAAAGAGCUAGAUGUGGGCUUUGGAGUCAGAAAAGAUGGGGUAUUGAAUCAGAGCUCCGCUCAUUACUUAACCUUGAGCUAAUUGCUUGUCCUUUCUAAGCUUCAGUUUCCUCAACUACAGAAUGGAAUAAUAAUACAUUACUUGCAGGACUGUUUUGAAGAUCAGAUAAGAUAAUGUAUGUAGAGCUUCUAACAUAGGUAGGUACACAUUGUCUCUCAUGAAAACAAACUAUUGUGCUCCUCUUGAGCUCCCAAAGAAAAUGGUCCCUUUGAAAUAAGUAUAGAUUUAAAAAUCCAGGGAAAGAAUUCAAUAAAUAUUGUUGGGUCCAUUGAAUAUUGAUAUUAAAACAGCAACAACAACAAAACUCUCUUUGAUACUUAAUCUCUUCUAUACCCCAGAAUCAUUAACAGAUGGAUUGCAGAUCUAAAUGUGAAAAGUAAAAUAAUAACAUCAACAAAACACCUUUUAGAAGAAAACACAGAGGAGCAUCCUUAUGACAUUGGAGUAGUCAAAGAUUUCUUAACACAGCUCGCCAUAAAGGGAAAAAACAUGUUGAUUAAUAGGGAUAUAUUAGGAUUAAAACACAUGAAUCAAAAGAUACCAUUCAAAGAGUGAAAAGACAACCCUUAGUUAGAAGGGUUAGUUAGAAAAUAUAUUUGCAAUAUCUUUACCCAAAGACUAUACUUAUAGUACAUAAAUAACUCCUACACUGGCUGGAUGCUGGGCUAGUCAAAGGCAUUUCAUGCUGCCUGAGUUUGCCACUCCUUCCUGGGUCUCUUUAAACCAGAGUAGAUGCAAUUAUCACAAUUUAUAUUUUUCUUCAGAAGGUUCUCACUAAACUGUCUAAUAAAUGUGAUUUGUCCCAGAAAAAAAAAAAA